rnacentral:rRNA from 1 species
UACAGAGGUCCCGAGCGUUGUUCGGAUUCAUUGGGCGUAAAGGGUGCGUAGGCGGCGGGGCAAGUCUGAUGUGAAAUCCCGGGGCUUAACCCCGGAACUGCAUUGGAUACUGCCUUGCUCGAGUACUGGAGAGGGAACUGGAAUUUACGGUGUAGCAGUGAAAUGCGUAGAGAUCGUAAGGAAGGCCAGUGGCGAAGGCGGGUCUCUGGACAGUUCCUGACGCUGAGGCACGAAGGCCAGGGGAGCAAAACGGG